AAAACAAACAAACAUGGACUGAAGUGGGGCUGAGCAGGGCAAAGCGAACUCAGAUGCCUUAAGGAAAUAGCAAAAAUGGAAUCUUCCCUGUUCUGUGGGCUGCCAGCAUGUGACAGUGUAUCAGUGUGCAUUUCUCCUGUGGGCUGCCAGCGUGUUACAAUAUCAGUGUGCUAUCCCCACGUCUCCUAACCAAAGCAUCCCCUCCCUGAUCACCAACUACAAGCCUGGGGCUUCCACACCCAGGGUCUGGGAAGCUGCCCUUUCCGGAAGGGUGGUAGAGACCCUGGGAACCAGACCAGCCGGGCUCACAAGUAUGAAGAGAAUGUCGGGAGAGGAAGUGGUGGCUCUGAGUCAGCAUGAGUCAUCUGGUUCCAGUGACAAUGAAGACUGAGGCAAGCUGAGCAUAUCUUGGGAUCUUCACAGCACAGUGCCUGGGAAGGCGGACCCUUCUAUCAGCUUCUCCCUGGUGGGAUUCUUGCGGGGGCAGGGACUGAGUCAAACCUUGGAAAUGACAUCAUUCUGAACUCAUCUGCCUUCAUCCAGAAGACUACCAAAGCGAACCAGAGGACCAGAGAAUAGCAACUGCUCUGGACAAAGAGGGGAAGACCCCCGCCAAGUUCUGGUUGACUUCCUACAGCAGAAGGAGCAGGAGACACCAGAAGGUUAAAAGUCUGAGGGAAGAGCAAUGGGCACAGCAUGACAGAGGUGGUAAGCUCUCCAUCUGGGAAGCUGGAAGCGGAGUGGGCACCAAUGGGAUGUCAGCCAUUGGAAGUGCACCCUGCAUUUUGUUUACAUAAAGAGAAACUGAGGAGGUGCUGUGGAAAUGAAAAGAGACAACACCUUCCAUUUGCUUCCACAUUAAUUUUGUAGGUAUCUCCUCUGCAGCAGGACACACUCUCUGGAGACUGCAGCCUGGACUUCUGGAGCAUGAUGGGAAAAUAUGAUCAAGCCUAAUGUGGAUGGCCACGACUCAGCUACCGUAAGACACAAUGAAUGACAGCUGAAGGUGACGAUGACACUUCAGACAAGUGACCACAGAAAGGCUGGGAGCUGUACACCGCAGAUGCCAAAAGUAGUGGCCAAGUCCUUAGUGUUCCAAAGCUGGCUAACGAAUAUACAGAAAACUAAUGCACAAAAUCACAGUUUCCAGAAAGCCGUACCCAAAACAAGGAGACAAAAGGCAUGGAGAAGAAACGCACAAAGAAGCAGAGAUGGCCUGCUUGGCAGGGAAUGUGCUACACUACCCCACAUGGAAAACUCAAGAGUCUUCACAUAAACUGUUCAAAAACAAAGUCGGCAAAAUACAUCCAAUAGAAGACUGCAAACAAGAGAGAGAAAGGCAGAGAGAGAGAGAGAGAGA